UACGUAGGGUGCGAGCGUUGUCCGGAAUUAUUGGGCGUAAAGAGCUCGUAGGCGGUUUGUCGCGUCUGCUGUGAAAACUCGGGGCUUAACUCCGGGCCUGCAGUGGGUACGGGCAGACUAGAGUGCGGUAGGGGAGACUGGAAUUCCUGGUGUAGCGGUGAAAUGCGCAGAGUAUCAGGAGGAACACCGGUGGCGAAGGCGGAUCUCUGGGCCUUACCUGACGCUGAGGCGCGAAAGCUAGGGGAGCGAACAGG
rnacentral:rRNA from 1 species